rnacentral:rRNA from 1 species
UGGGGAAUUUUGGACAAUGGGCGAAAGCCUGAUCCAGCAAUGCCGCGUGUGUGAAGAAGGCCUUCGGGUUGUAAAGCACUUUUGUCCGGAAAGAAAUCCUUGGCUCUAAUACAGUCGGGGGAUGACGGUACCGGAAGAAUAAGCACCGGCUAACUACGUGCCAGCAGCCGCGGUAAUACGUAGGGUGCAAGCGUUAAUCGGAAUUACUGGGCGUAAAGCGUGCGCAGGCGGUUUGCUAAGACCGAUGUGAAAUCCCCGGGCUCAACCUGGGAACUGCAUUGGUGACUGGCAGGCUAGAGUAUGGCAGAGGGGGGUAGAAUUCCACGUGUAGCAGUGAAAUGCGUAGAGAUGUGGAGGAAUACCGAUGGCGAAGGCAGCCCCCUGGGCCAAUACUGACGCUCAUGCACGAAAGCGUGGGGAGCAAACAGGAUUAGAUACCCUGGUAGUCCACGCCCUAAACGAUGUCAACUAGUUGUUGGGGAUUCAUUUCCUUAGUAACGUAGCUAACGCGUGAGGUUGACCGCCUGGGGAGUACGGUCGCAAGAUUAAAACUCAAAUGAAUUGACGGGGUCAUAGCUGUUUCCU